UGAUGAUUUAGUACACAUCAUAAUAGGACUCCUACACAACGAAGAAUUAUCUCCAUUGUAUAAAUUACUUGCCGUGAAAGAUAUUGACCUUGUACCUAUGUUACGAAGAGAUACAGUCAACUGAAAUGGAUACAAGGGUUGACUUUGGAUUAAACUACAACAGCAAUCACCCGAAGAGAAAAUAUUCCACUAGUAAUGAUCAACAAAGCGUGUAUUUUGAAAGAGAACAGGCUCUCUUGGCCACAGAAGCUCCAUACGUUAGAAUUCUAAGUUAACGUCAGUACCUAUACUUUGAAAAUCCUUUAUAUUGUGUUCAACAACCUGGUACAAAAAAGCAAACAAUUGUUAUAAACCGCAUG